CCUACGGGAGGCUGCAGUGAGGAAUAUUGGUCAAUGGACGAGAGUCUGAACCAGCCAAGUAGCGUGAAGGAUGACUGCCCUAUGGGUUGUAAACUUCUUUUAUAAAGGAAUAAAACGAGGCACGUGUGCCUUUUUGCAUGUACUUUAUGAAUAAGGAUCGGCUAACUCCGUGCCAGCAGCCGCGGUAAUACGGAGGAUCCGAGCGUUAUCCGGAUUUAUUGGGUUUAAAGGGAGCGUAGAUGGGGGGUUAAGUCAGUUGUGAAAGUUUGCGGCUCAACCGGAAAGUUGCAAUUGAUACUGGCAGUCUUGAGGACAGUUGAGGUAGGGGGGAUUCGGGGGGUAGCGGUGAAAUGGUUAGGUAUCA
rnacentral:rRNA from 1 species